rnacentral:rRNA from 1 species
UCGAACGGCACCCCUCUCCGGAGGGAAGCGAGUGGCGAACGGCUGAGUAACACGUGGAGAACCUGCCCCCUCCCCCCGGGAUAGCCGCCCGAAAGGACGGGUAAUACCGGAUACCCCGGGCGCCGCAUGGCGCCCGGGCUAAAGCCCCGACGGGAGGGGAUGGCUCCGCGGCCCAUCAGGUAGACGGCGGGGUGACGGCCCACCGUGCCGACAACGGGUAGCCGGGUUGAGAGACCGACCGGCCAGAUUGGGACUGAGACACGGCCCAGACUCCUACAGGAGGCAGCAUG